rnacentral:tRNA from 1 species
GUUUUUAUAAUUUAAAAAAAAUAUUAGUCUUGUAAACUAAAAAUAAGUUCAACUUUAAAAACA